AGCAAAACCAUGCUUGCUUCAGCACUAAAUUGGAACGAUACAGAGAUUAGCAUGGCCCUUGCACAAGGAAGACACGCAAAUUCGUGAAGCAUUCCAUAUUUUU
ensembl:snRNA U6 U6 spliceosomal RNA